UCUCUCUUCACAAGAUACAUAGAUGUUCUCAUAUCAGUGGAAGUGAAAAACAAUUAAUUUCGUAUAUUACCAAUUGUUUAUUUUUCUUCAUCCUUAAUCAAAACCAGAUAAAACAAAGUACUUUACUAACUCCACGGACAUAUCACCUAUCCUUGUUAAGUAAAUUGUUCAUACAACUUUUAAAUUUUUUAAAAAAGGGAUUCAAUCAUACAAACAUAUAGUAAACAUCUCUAUCAGAGAGAGUAGUAGUAAUACUAGGUUUAUUAAAAAAUAUAUAUUUAUUUGUAGUUUUGACUAGGAAUUGAAUUCAGUAGUUAGUACGGGAUGGUACGGUUCUUCAUAAUCUUCUUUCUCUGUUUCCUCCUAACCAUGAUUUGCUUUAGCCGCUCUUUCCCUUUUGUAAUGUUUCGUUUAUGACCUCUUUCGCGUUUAUGUAUGUUCCAAACACUAUAAGGUAUAUCUCUCACGAAGUUAUCGUUUGCGAAUUCCCAUGGGUCAGUGGCAACUACCCUAAAGCCGUAUCGGUCAAGCAACUUGACAAAGAGUACGAAAUUUUGACCAAAGCCGAUAUCGUCGUAGCCAUACCCAAGGAAUUUUGGUAUAACCUCUCUCGAAAGUUCAGUCUGGUUCCAGAUGAUGAAACUCUUGCCACUCUCGCUCCACGAGAACGUUGAAUCACACGAAGGAUCAUUAACCAUGUCAUGCGUAUUUCUAACUAGAGCAUGACAGUAGGGAUCGUUUUCCAUCUUUUAAAAAAACCCUAAAAAGAAAUUGGAAAAUAGUAACGCGAUGUUGAUGAUGUUUUUGGGCGAACGAACCAUUAAAAUAGCUAAUGCGUUUAUUUAUAUAGAGAAAAUUUUAGAUCAGUUCAGAGCUUUUCACCGAUGUGGGAUAUAAUAACUUUGCUAAAUUUGGGCUUCGUGUAUGGGCCUUUACCUUUUUGAAUUUUUGAGUCUAUUAAUUAGACAAAUCUCUUCUUUGUUGGGUGUUCUAAUCUAAUUAUUCAAUUUUAUUAAGAUACAUUACUACAGAUCCAACAGAGGUUUUAAUGUGGGGUUUUAAGGGAAAAAUGAUAGAAAAAUAAAUCAAAAAAUGGAAAAAAAUUGAAGAGCUCCUCUUAUAUACUUUCACAUAAGAAAGACUCUGACCUGUCCCUAAAUUGUUGGUUCAAUUUAAUGGAGAACAAUUUUUUUUGGGCCGGAUUGUGUUCUUUUUUUCCUCUCCCUCUCUCUCUCUCUUUGUCGCGAAUCUCUCAAUCGGAUGAGAUGGGAUCGGUUGGAAUCGUAGGAGAUUGGAAUCGGAGGAGGAGAUUGAAUCGAUUCUCAAUUGGCAGUUAUUUAACUACCACCGGAGGAAAUAUACAAGAUACAAAGAGAACAAGGGUGCUCCGUUAGUGUGUGACGGGCAUUCUCGUCCUGUCAUCGAUGUGGCUUAUAGUCCGAUGACUCCAGAUGGAUUCUUUCUCAUUAGCGCAAGCAAAGGUAUGAUCAAGCCGUUUCUACAUUGGCUGUUUCAAGAUGAGGUUCUCUUUCAAGCCAUUUCAAGACAUCUUUCGAGAAUCAUUUUGACGAACGAGGGUAGGUUUUUAGCUCUUGGAUGGUGUUUGCAUAUCCGAAGUCUAGUCGAAUGCGAGGAUACUGGCGAUCAAGGUUUUUUUGGCAUGCGGUUGAUUGUUUUCUGUCAAUUACUAAAGCUUUAGCAAAGAGGGAUAAUACUCUGGUCAAUAAACCGAAGCCAUGCUUAGAUACCUAAUAUUAGCGAGAAGAAAAAAAAAGCAGAGUUUUCUACCAGAAGAUUCAAACAUUAAGGCAAAUUGUAUACUGUGGAACCACUUGGAGGAGCUGAUGCGCCUUGUACAAUGUCUUUUUCUUACUAUUCAACAAGCUAUCCUCAGGGAUGUUCUGACACCAAGAUUGGUGGUAUAGAGACACAAAAGUUUUUCCUAAACUGUUUAUGC